rnacentral:lncRNA from 1 species
GGAAGUGCAUUGGCACUGCGUCCCCUGAUUCCUCGAGAAGAAUUUCUUCCCCGAGCAUAUGUUCCUCUGAGAGGAAUCAUCCCUGUAAAAAUUCACGUGUUAAGAAAUCUGGAAGAGAAUUCUCUUUUGAUUUAAUAUAUUCAAUAUUACACACAGAUUUACAAAACUAGGGGUGCACACAGAUUUACAAAACCACUAGUAAAAGUGACAAGACAGAAUCAAGCUGUCGGUGAACCCAUCAUUUGUUCACUAUGCACAAAAGGUGUCGGUGAAGUGAUUUCUUCACGGGUGUACUAUCCAGAGCUUGUCGUGACCACUGUCUUUCCUUUCUCUGUUUGUGGGACAGAUUUUACUGCUCCCUUUUGUCCAGGUCUUCUGGUAAGAAUUGUUUGCCAUACUUCCUCCAUUGGAGUAGGGGUAUUCUGAAC